rnacentral:rRNA from 1 species
AGAUUGAACGCUGGCGGCAGGCCUAAUACAUGCAAGUCGAGCGGCAGCACGGGUACUUGUACCUGGUGGCGAGCGGCGGACGGGUGAGUAAUGCCUAGGAAUCUGCCUGAUAGGUGGGGGGAUAACGCUCGGAAACGGACGCUAAUACCGCAUACGUCCUACGGGAGAAAGCAGGGGACCUUCGGGCCUUGCGCUAUCAGAUGAGCCUAGGUCGGAUUAGCUAGUUGGUGGGGUAAUGGCUCACCAAGGCGACGAUCCGUAACUGGUCUGAGAGGAUGAUCAGUCACACUGGAACUGAAGACAACGGUACCAGACCUCCGACGGGAGGCAGCAGGUAGGGAAUAUUGGACAAGUAGGGACGAAAAGCCUGAUCCCGAGCCAUCGCCGCGUGUGUAGAAGUAAGGUCUUCGGUAAUUGUAAAAG